AUGCCGCUGUGUGAACGGACUCAAUUGCCGGAACUCACACAAUAUCAGUAUCAGCACCGAAACCUCACAGGAAAAAUGAACAGCUCCUCCCAGGGUCUUCAGCUCCACGGCCCUCAAACUAUAAAGACAACAGCUCCUCCCUGCAUCCCCAGCUCCACAACCGUCAAAUUAGAACACCAGUUCCUGUCCAGGUCUCCAGCUCCACGGCUCUCAAAUGAAAACAACAUCAGCUCCUCCCUAGUUCUCCAGCUGCACGAUCCUCAAAUUGGAACAUGAGCUUCCUGCCGUAUCUCCAGCUGCAUGGCCUUUAAACGGGAACAUCAGCUUCCAGGCCCUCAAACUGGAACAUCAGCUCCCACCGGGUCUCCAGCUGCAUUGCCCUCAAACUGGAACAUCAGCGCCACCCUGAAUCUCCAGUUGCACGGCCCUCAAACUGCAACAUCAACUCCCCCACGGUUCUCCAGCAGCACAGCCCUCAAACUGGAACAUCAGCUCCCCACUGGGUCUCCAGUUGCACGGCCCUCAAACUGGAACAUAAGCACCCUGUAGGGUCUCCAGCUGCAUGGCUCUCAAACUGGAACAUUGGCUCCCCACCCGGUCUCCAGCUGCACGGCCCUUAAACUGGAACAUCAGCUCCCCUCCUGAUCUCCAGCUGCACGGUUCUCAAACUAGAACAUCAUCUCUCUUGCCAUGUGUCCAGCUGCACGGCCCACAAACUGGAACAUCAGCUCCCCGCCGGGUGUCCGGCUGCACGGCCCUCAAACUGGAACAUCAGCUCCCCACUGGGUCUAUAGCAGCACUGCCCUCAAACUGGAGCAUUAGCUUACCCGUGUGUCCAGCUCCCAGGCCCUCCAAUUGGAACAUAAGCUCCCUGAUGAGUCUCCAGAUGCACGGCCCUCAAACUGGAACAUCAGCUCCCCGCUGGGUCUCCAGCUGCACGGUCCUCAAACUGGAACAUCGGCUCAGCCCUGGGCUCCAGCUGCACAGCCCUCAAACUGGAACAGGAGCUGCCCCACCGAGUUCAAACUGUUCCAGUUUGAGGUCUGUGCAGCUGGAGACCCGGCGGGCAGCUGACAUUCCAGUUUGAGCGCCAUGCAGCUGGAGACUCGGGGGUAGCUGAUGUUGCAGUUUGAGGGCCGUGCAGCUGGACACAUGGCAAGAAAGCUGAUGUUCUAGUUUGAGAACUGUGCAGCUGCAGACCAGGUGGGGAGCCAGUGUUCCAGUUUGAGAGCCGUGUAGCUGGAGACCCUACAGGCAGCUGAUGUUCCAGUUUGAGGGCCGUGCAACUGGAGACCAGGAGGGGAGCUGAUGUUCCAGUUUGAUGUUCCCCCCCGGGUCUCCAGGUGCACGGCCCUCAUACUGGAACAUCAGUUCCCUGCCCAGGCUCCAGCUACACGGCCCUGAAACUAAAACAUCAGUUCUCCCCCGUGUCUCCAGCUGCACCGCCCUCAAACUGGAACAUCUGCUCCCCAUCAGGUCUCGAGCUGCACGGCCCUGCAACUGGAAUAUCAGCUCCCCGCCGGGUCUCCAGCUGCACGGCCCUCAAAUUGGAACAUCAGCUCAGCCCUGGCUCCAGCUGCAUGGCCCUCAAACUGGAACAUCGGCUCCCCGUGGAUCUACAGCAGCACGGCCUCAAACUGGAACAUCAGCUCCCUGCCAGGUAUCCUGCUUCAUGGCCCUAAAAAUGGAACAUUAGCUCCCCGUAGGGUCUCCAGCUGCAUGGCCCUUAAAACUGGAACAUCGGCUCCCCCGCGGGUCUCCAGAUGCACAGCCCUCAAACUGGAACAUCGGCUCCCCCUCAGGUCUCCAGCUGCACGGCCCUCAAACUGCAACAUCGGCUCCCCCUCAGGUCUCCAGCUGCACGGCCCUCAAACUGGAACAUCGGCUCCCCCCGGAUCUACAGCGGCACAGCCCUCAAACUGGAACAUCAGCUCCCCCCGGAUCUACAGCGGCACAGCCCUCAAACUGGAACAUCAGCUUCCCGCCGGGUCUCCAGCUGCACGGCCCUCAAACUGGGACAUGAGCUCCUCCCCAGUUGCAGAACACUAAUACUAGAAAAAUGCCAGCUCCUCCUGGGUUCUACAGCUGCGCGACCCUCCAACUAAAGAAACACCAGCCCCUCUCUGGGUCUGCAGCUGCAUGAACCUCAAACUAGAUCACCUCUGCCCCUGGAUCUCCAGCUCCACGACCCUCACAGAGGAACAGCCACACCGGCUCCUUCACUGUCUUCCGCUCCACAACCUAAGACAUCAGUGGCAGCACCAGCUCCUCCGUGGACCUCCAGCUCAACGACUCUCAGACUUAAAAGGCAGCGUCGGCUCCUCCCCAAGGCUCCAGCUCCACCACCCUCAGAUUUGAACAGCGGUAGCACCAGCUCCUGUCCGGGUCUUCAGCCCCACAACCCUCCCUGAACAAUCCCUUCUCACGAAAUUCAGCAGUCAAGAAAACUGCAGCCGAAGUAAAUGAAUAAAUGUUUUGUUUUCAAAUCGA